UACGAAGGGUGCAAGCGUUACUCGGAAUUACUGGGCGUAAAGCGUGCGUAGGUGGUGAGUUAAGUCUGUCGUGAAAGCCCCGGGCUCAACCUGGGAAUGGCGAUGGAUACUGGCUCGCUAGAGUGCGGUAUAGGAGAGUGGAAUUCCCGGUGUAGCAGUGAAAUGCGUAGAGAUCGGGAGGAACAUCAGUUGCGAAGGCGGCUCUCUGGACCAGCACUGACACUGAGGCACGAAAGCGUGGGGAGCAAACAGG
rnacentral:rRNA from 1 species